rnacentral:rRNA from 1 species
AGUGAACGCUGGCGGUAGGCCUAACACAUGCAAGUCGAACGGCAGCACAGUAAGAGCCUGCUCUUACGGGUGGCGAGUCGCGGACGGGUGAGGUAUAUAUCGGAAUCUACUUUUUCGUGUGGGAUAACGUAGGGAAACUUACGCUCAUACCGCAUACGCCCUUCGGGUGAAAGCAGGGGAUCUUCGGACCUUGCGCGGUUGAACGAGCCGAUGUUGGAUUGGUUAGUUGGCGGGGUAAAGGCCCACCAGGGCGCCGAUCCGUAGCUGGUCAGAGAGGAUGGUCGGCCACACUGGAAGGGAGACGCGGUCCAGACUCCUACGGGAGGCAGCAGUGGGGAAUGGUGGACAGUGGGGGCAAGCAUGAUACAGCCAUACCGAGUGUGUGAAGAAGGCCUUCGGGUUGUAAAGCCGGUUUGUUGGGAGAGAAAAGCAGCAGGUUGAUACGCAGCGGUUGUGACGGUACUCAAAGAAUAAGCACCGGCUAACUUCGUG